GGGAAACCCAGACUGGGAGAGAAGCGGGAUUCCUCAGCUCUGCAGCAGCAUCUCUGGCCGGGCUCAGGGUGCCAGGGGCCAGCGUGGCUUUCGGGAGCUGUUUGCUGCCCCGCUGCAGUGAGCCAGGCAGGCUAGGCUGGCAAUGGCCCAUGGUCUGGCUGCAUCAACCCACCCACACCCCGCAGCAACACCAAAACCCAAACUUGCCUCACCUGCAUCAAGUCGAGACGCUUGAGAAAGGUAAAGGAAGGAUGUUACCAUCUCUAUACUGACUCAUUUCAAAAUUUUCAGUCAACCAAAUGCUUUUUAGUAGAACCUAAAGACAUAUCCUUAUUUAGCUCUGCAUAUUUGAGAACACAGGAUGUUGAAUGUUAGUACACAUGGCUUGGACACAGCUGGGAGCACAGCUUCAAGCAACUUUUCCACCCCGAAUAACUAAAGAAAACACAAAAGAACGUUUUCAGCGUGACUUAGCCAAUGAAAGCAGGGGAGCACCGUUUGAGACUGGUUCUUUUCUAGCUGAAUACAUGGAACGCAACUGUGUUGAAAUGAAAGUUGAAGUACCUGAUGGUGCAGGUGAGGAGCACAGGAAACACAGGAUGGCUGAGCAUGGGACUGUCCCAGCAUUUGUUGGAAUAAAGGGCAAGCCCGUGGGCAGCGCUCCU